UACCUUUUCGUUCGCUCUCUUUUUUCUUUUGAAGACCUAUUUAUACUUUAUGGAUUUAAUCCCUUCAGGUGGAUCAAUAAGUGUCCAUACACUGUUGAUCUCAUAGACUCCAUUUCAAAUUUUUUGGUUUUAACCAUUUCUCAGAAUUAGACCUCUGCAUGGCAUCUAUAUAGGUGGCCGGAUCCUCAUCAUUCUCAUCUAGUUUGACAGGAUCAUUAUCUUGGAUCAAGAAACUGUAGUAUUUAUUCAGUUGAUGUGGU
rnacentral:lncRNA from 1 species